rnacentral:rRNA from 1 species
AGUGAACGCUGGCGGUAGGCCUAACACAUGCAAGUCGAACGACAGCACAGUAAGAGCUUGCUCUUACGGGUGGCGAGUGGCGGAAGGGUGCGGAAUACAUCGGAAUCUACUUUUUCGUGGGUGAUAACGUAGGGAAACUUACGCUAAUACAGCAUACGACCUACGUGGGAGAGCAGGGGAUCUUCGGACCUUUCGCGAUGGUAUGAGCCGAUGUCGGAUUCGCUAGUUGGCGGGGUAGAGGCACACCAAGGCGACGAUGCGUAGCUGGUCUGACAGGAUGAUUCGACACACUGGAAGUGAGGAACGGCCGAGACACUGACGGUAGGACGCAGUGCAGAAUAUUGGACAAGGGGGGAAAGCCUGAUCUAGGAAUACCGGGGGGGGGAAGAAGGACUUAGGGUUGUAAAGUCCUGUUGUUGGGAAAGAAAAGCAGCAGGUUUACCCGCGGCGGUACUGACGGUACCCAAAGAAUAAGCACCGGCUAACUUCGUG